rnacentral:rRNA from 1 species
CCGAAAUGCAGACGCGGAGGGACAUUGCUGGAACGCGCUUCGGCGCACCCAGAAACCCUUUGUGAACUUAUACCUACUGUUGCCUCGGCGUCAGGCCGGCCUCUUCACUGAGGCCCCCCGGAGACGGGGAGCAGCCCGCCGGCGGCCAACUAAACUCUUGUUUCUAUAGUGAAUCUCUGAGUAAAAAACAUAAAUGAAUCAAAACUUUCAACAACGGAUCUCUUGGUUCUGGCAUCGAUGAAGAACGCAGCGAAAUGCGAUAAGUAAUGUGAAUUGCAGAAUUCAGUGAAUCAUCGAAUCUUUGAACGCACAUUGCGCCCCCUGGUAUUCCGGGGGGCAUGCCUGUUCGAGCGUCAUUUCAACCCUCAAGCCUGGCUUGGUGAUGGGGCACUGCUUCGAGAGGAGCAGGCCCUGAAAUUCAGUGGCGAGCUCGCCAGGACCCCGAGCGUAGUAGUUAUAUCUCGCUUUGGAAGGCCCUGGCGGUGCCCUGCCGUUAAACCCCCAACUUCUGAAAAUUUGACCUCGGAUCAGGUAGGAAUACCCGCUGAACUUAAGCAUAUCAAUAAGCCGGAAGAA